GGGCAUCUUGAAGACAAUUUCAGUCAGACUUGGGCCUAAAACAGAAUCAUAAUAAACUUUUGACCAAGGUUGAUAUUUGGCCUUGGGCCAUGGCUCCAACUUGAAGCAUGAUCCUGGAACUUGGCUCGAUGUUGAGUUGAAUUCAUUAUUAGGAUUUUUUGCUGGGGCUCUUUUGAGUUAGGCCAAGCAUUUUGGGUUUUG
rnacentral:lncRNA from 1 species